GACGAACGCUGGCGGCGUGCUUAACACAUGCAAGUCGAACGGUAAGGCCCUUCGGGGUACACGAGUGGCGAACGGGUGAGUAACACGUGGGUGAUCUGCCCUGCACUUCGGGAUAAGCCUGGGAAACUGGGUCUAAUACCGGAUAGGACCACUGCCUGCAUGGGUGGUGGUGGAAAGCUUUUGCGGUGUGGGAUGGGCCCGCGGCCUAUCAGCUUGUUGGUGGGGUGAUGGCCGACCAAGGCGACGACGGGUAGCCGGCCUGAGAGGGUGACCGGCCACACUGGGACUGAGAUACGGCCCAGACUCCUACGGGAGGCAGCAGUGGGGAAUAUUGCACAAUGGGCGCAAGCCUGAUGCAGCGACGCCGCGUGAGGGAUGACGGCCUUCGGGUUGUAAACCUCUUUCAGCACCGACGAAGCGCAAGUGACGGUAGGUGCAGAAGAAGGACCGGCCAACUACGUGCCAGCAGCCGCGGUAA
rnacentral:rRNA from 1 species